UGAGGAAUAUUGGUCAAUGGGCGCUAGCCUGAACCAGCCAAGUAGCGUGAAGGAUGAAGGCUCUAUGGGUCGUAAACUUCUUUUAUAUAAGAAUAAAGUGCAGUAUGUAUACUGUUUUGUAUGUAUUAUAUGAAUAAGGAUCGGCUAACUCCGUGCCAGCAGCCGCGGUAAUACGGAGGAUCCGAGCGUUAUCCGGAUUUAUUGGGUUUAAAGGGAGCGUAGGUGGACUGGUAAGUCAGUUGUGAAAGUUUGCGGCUCAACCGUAAAAUUGCAGUUGAUACUGUCAGUCUUGAGUACAGUAGGGGUGGGCGGAAUUCGUGGUGUAGCGGUGAAAUGCUUAGAUAUCACGAAGAACUCCGAUUGCGAAGGCAGCUCACUGGACAGCAACUGACACUGAUGCUCGUAAGUGUGGGUAUCAAACAGG
rnacentral:rRNA from 1 species